UACGUAGGGAGCAAGCGUUGUCCGGAAUCAUUGGGCGUAAAGCGCGCGUAGGCGGCCCGGUCAGUCCGUCGUGAAAGUCAAAGGCUCAACCUUUGAAUGUCGAUGGAUACUGCCGGGCUAGAGUCCGGAAGAGGCGAGUGGAAUUCCUGGUGUAGCGGUGGAAUGACGCAGAUAUCAGGAGGAACACCAAUAGCGAAGGCAGCUCGCUGGGACGGUACUGACGCUAAGGCGCGAAAGCGUGGGGAGCGAACAGG
rnacentral:rRNA from 1 species